AGCUUUGCACAGUGGCAGUAUCGUAGCCAAUGAGGUUUAUCCGAGGCUCGAGUAUUGCUAAUUCAAAAAUAUAACUCCUAAUUCUCAGACCUAACAAAACUGUACACCUCCCACACACUCCUCCCCAUCUCUGAAAAUGAUUACUCA